AAUGAACGUUGGCGGCGUGGAUUAGGCAUGCAAGUCGAGCGCGAACCCCGCAAGGGGUGAAAGCGGCGAAAGGGAGAGUAACGCGUGGGUAUUUACCCUCGGGACUGGGAUAGCUGCGGGAAACUGCAGGUAAUACCAGAUGACGUCCCCGGACCAAAGGUGUGAUUCCGCCUGAGGAUAAGCCCGCGUCCUAUUAGCUAGUUGGUGAGGUAAUGGCUCACCAAGGCAAUGAUGGGUACUGGGUGUGAGAGCACGACCCAGCUCACUGGGACUGAGACCCUGCCCCGACCCCUACGGGUGGCUGCAGUCGAGAAUCUUCGGCAAUGGGCGCAAGCCUGACCGAGCGACGCCGCGUGUGGGAUGAAGGCCUUCGGGUUGUAAACCGCUGUCAGAGGGGAGGAAUGGGCGGAGGGUAAUCUCUUCGUUUUGACCUAUCCUCAGAGGAAGUACGGGCUAAGUUCGUGCCAGCCGCCGCCGUAA
rnacentral:rRNA from 1 species